rnacentral:rRNA from 1 species
AGCGUACACGGUGGAUGCCCUGGCAGUCAGAGGCGAUGAAGGACGUGCUAAUCUGCGAAAAGCGUCGGUAAGGUGAUAUGAACCGUUAUAACCGGCGAUGUCCGAAUGGGGAAACCCAGUGCAAUUCGUUGCACUAUCGUUAACUGAAUACAUAGGUUAACGAGGCGAACCGGGGGAACUGAAACAUCUAAGUACCCCGAGGAAAAGAAAUCAACCGAGAUUCCCCCAGUAGCGGCGAGCGAACGGGGAGCAGCCCAGAGUCUGAAUCAGCUUGUGUGUUAGUGGAACGGUCUGGAAAGUCCGACAGUACAGGGUGAUAGUCCCGUACACCAAAAUGCACAGGUUGUGAACUCGAAGAGUAGGGCGGGACACGUGGUAUCCUGUCUGAAUAUGGGGGGACCAUCCUCCAAGGCUAAAUACUCCUGACUGACCGAUAGUGAACCAGUACCGUGAGGGAAAGGCGAAAAGAACCCCGGCGAGGGGAGUGAAAAAGAACCUGAAACCGUGUACGUACAAGCAGUGGGAGCACCUUCGGGUGUGACUGCGUACCUUUUGUAUAAUGGGUCAGCGACUUAUAUUCUGUAGCAAGGUUAACCGUAUAGGGGAGCCGCAGGGAAACCGAGUCUUAACUGGGCGUUAAGUUGCAGGGUAUAGACCCGAAACCCGGUGAUCUAGCCAUGGGCAGGUUGAAGGUUGGGUAACACUAACUGGAGGACCGAACCGACUAAUGUUGAAAAAUUAGCGGAUGACUUGUGGCUGGGGGUGAAAGGCCAAUCAAACCGGGAGAUAGCUGGUUCUCCCCGAAAGCUAUUUAGGUAGCGCCUCGUGAAUUCAUCUUCGGGGGUAGAGCACUGUUUCGGCUAGGGGGUCAUCCCGACUUACCAACCCGAUGCAAACUACGAAUACCGAAGAAUGUUAUCACGGGAGACACACGGCGGGUGCUAACGUCCGUCGUGAAGAGGGAAACAACCCAGACCGCCAGCUAAGGUCCCAAAGUCAUGGUUAAGUGGGAAACGAUGUGGGAAGGCACAGACAGCCAGGAUGUUGGCUUAGAAGCAGCCAUCAUUUAAAGAAAGCGUAAUAGCUCACUGGUCGAGUCGGCCUGCGCGGAAGAUGUAACGGGGCUAAACCAUGCACCGAAGCUGCGGCAGCGACGCUUAUGCGUUGUUGGGUAGGGGAGCGUUCUGUAAGCCUGCGAAGGUGGCCUGUGAGGGCUGCUGGAGGUAUCAGAAGUGCGAAUGCUGACAUAAGUAACGAUAAAGCGGGUGAAAAGCCCGCUCGCCGGAAGACCAAGGGUUCCUGUCCAACGUUAAUCGGGGCAGGGUGAGUCGACCCCUAAGGCGAGGCCGAAAGGCGUAGUCGAUGGGAAACAGGUUAAUAUUCCUGUACUUGGUGUUACUGCGAAGGGGGGACGGAGAAGGCUAUGUUAGCCGGGCGACGGUUGUCCCGGUUUAAGCAUGUAGGCGGAGGUUCCAGGUAAAUCCGGUACCUUUUAACGCUGAGGUGUGAUGACGAGGCACUACGGUGCUGAAGUAACAAAUGCCCUGCUUCCAGGAAAAGCCUCUAAGCAUCAGGUAACAUCAAAUCGUACCCCAAACCGACACAGGUGGUCAGGUAGAGAAUACCAAGGCGCUUGAGAGAACUCGGGUGAAGGAACUAGGCAAAAUGGUGCCGUAACUUCGGGAGAAGGCACGCUGGUGUGUAGGUGAAGUCCCUGCGGACGGAGCUGAGACCAGUCGAAGAUACCAGCUGGCUGCAACUGUUUAUUAAAAACACAGCACUGUGCAAACACGAAAGUGGACGUAUACGGUGUGACGCCUGCCCGGUGCCGGAAGGUUAAUUGAUGGGGUUAUCCGUAAGGAGAAGCUCUUGAUCGAAGCCCCGGUAAACGGCGGCCGUAACUAUAACGGUCCUAAGGUAGCGAAAUUCCUUGUCGGGUAAGUUCCGACCUGCACGAAUGGCGUAAUGAUGGCCAGGCUGUCUCCACCCGAGACUCAGUGAAAUUGAACUCGCUGUGAAGAUGCAGUGUACCCGCGGCAAGACGGAAAGACCCCGUGAACCUUUACUAUAGCUUGACACUGAACAUUGAGCCUUGAUGUGUAGGAUAGGUGGGAGGCUUUGAAGCGUGGACGCCAGUCUGCGUGGAGCCAACCUUGAAAUACCACCCUUUAAUGUUUGAUGUUCUAACGUUGGCCCCUUAUCGGGGUUGCGGACAGUGUCUGGUGGGUAGUUUGACUGGGGCGGUCUCCUCCCAAAGAGUAACGGAGGAGCACGAAGGUUAGCUAAUCCUGGUCGGACAUCAGGAGGUUAGUGCAAUGGCAUAAGCUAGCUUGACUGCGAGCGUGACGGCGCGAGCAGGUGCGAAAGCAGGUCAUAGUGAUCCGGUGGUUCUGAAUGGAAGGGCCAUCGCUCAACGGAUAAAAGGUACUCCGGGGAUAACAGGCUGAUACCGCCCAAGAGUUCAUAUCGACGGCGGUGUUUGGCACCUCGAUGUCGGCUCAUCACAUCCUGGGGCUGAAGUAGGUCCCAAGGGUAUGGCUGUUCGCCAUUUAAAGUGGUACGCGAGCUGGGUUUAGAACGUCGUGAGACAGUUCGGUCCCUAUCUGCCGUGGGCGCUGGAGAAUUGAGGGGGGCUGCUCCUAGUACGAGAGGACCGGAGUGGACGCAUCACUGGUGUUCGGGUUGUCAUGCCAAUGGCACUGCCCGGUAGCUAAAUGCGGAAGAGAUAAGUGCUGAAAGCAUCUAAGCACGAAACUUGCCCCGAGAUGAGUUCU